GUCUACAGCCAUACCACCUUGCACACACCCAAUCUCAUCUGAUCUCAGAAGCUAAGCCAGGUCGGGCCUGGUUAGUACUUGGGUGGGAGACUAUUAAUUUACUUAUUGGCUGUGCU
rnacentral:rRNA from 1 species